rnacentral:tRNA from 1 species
GCGGGCGUAGUUCAGAGGUAGAACGCGACCUUCCCAAGGUCGAUGUCGGGGGUUCGAUUCCCCCCGCCCGCUCCA